CACGUAGUUAGCCGGUGCUUAUUCUUACGGUACCGUCAUCAGCCCCAGGUAUUAGCCAGAGCCUUUUCGUUCCGUACAAAAGCGGUUUGCAACCCGAAGGCCUUCUUCCCGCACGCGGCAUUGCUGGAUCAGGCUUGCGCCCAUUGUCCAAAAUUCCCCACUGCUGCCUCCCGUAGGAGUCUGGGCCGUGUCUCAGUCCCAGUGUGGCUGGUCGUCCUCUCAGACCAGCUACAGAUCGUCGGCUUGGUAGGCCUUUACCCCACCAACUACCUAAUCUGACAUCGGCCGCUCCAGAAGCGCGAGGCCAAACAUUGCUGCUUGGUCCCCCGCUUUCAUCCUCAGAUCACAUGCGGUAUUAGCACAGCUUUCGCUGCGUUAUCCCCCACUCUGGGCACGUUCCGAUGCAUUACUCACCCGUUCGCCACUCGUCAGCACCCGAAGGCCUGUUACCGUUCGACUUGCAUGUGUAAAGCAUGCCGCCAGCGUUC
rnacentral:rRNA from 1 species